AGCGCAGGUGGUUGUAUAAGUCUGAAGUAAAAGGCAGUGGCUCAACCAUUGUGUGCUUUGGAAACUGUACAACUUGAGUGCAGAAGGGGAGAGUGGAAUUCCAUGUGUAGCGGUGAAAUGCGUAGAUAUAUGGAGGAACACCGGUGGCGAAAGCGGCUCUCUGGUCUGUAACUGACACUGAGGCUCGAAAGCGUGGGAGCAAACA
rnacentral:rRNA from 1 species